rnacentral:lncRNA from 1 species
CACUCACAAGGCAGGGCUUUGGAUUAUUUGGGCUUGUUCUGCUGCCACGGCAGAAACCGGACUCAGAUUCCAAUCAAGGGGCAAAUUACUCCAUCUCCCUAGGCAUGACUCUGGGGGAAAGUGGAGACCUGUGGAAUAAAAAGAGCCACGUCUUAGGGUGUGGAAGGGGCAAGUCUGGAAAAGAGGCUAUCUGUCUGAUGCCAAAACAGCCAUUCAUCCCAGGGAAGACAUCAAUCAAACCAGGCUCCUGGAUGUUGACAAAGCCAAACAGUGUCUGUGGUUGCAAUCGCUCUGCAUUGUGGAACCAUCUCCAAUGUCUCAUUAAGUGAAAAACAUGUGAAUACAACCACAGACAAUACCAGUUACACCCGCACUGCACGGUGUCUCUCCCUGAAAGCACAUGUUAUGGAAUCCACCCAAGUCAAAUAAACAAAAGAAGAUUACCUCCA